UACGGAAGGCAGCAGUGGGGAAUAUUGCACAAUGGGCGAAAGCCUGAUGCAGCUAUGCCGCGUGUAUGAAGAAGGCCUUAGGGUUGUAAAGUACUUUCAUCGGGGAGGAAAAACAAAACUAAUAAUUUUAUUUCUUGACGUUACCCGAAAAAGAAGCACCGGCUAACUCCGUGCCAGCAGCCGCGGUAAUACGGAGGGUGCUAGCGUUAAUCAGAAUUACUGGGCGUAAAGAGCACGUAGGUGGUUUUUUUAAGUCAGAUGUGAAAUCCCUGGGCUUAACCUAGGAACUGCAUUUUGAAACUGAAAUACUAGAGUAUCGUAGAGGGAGGUAGAAUUCUAGGUGUAGCGGUGAAAUGCGUAGAUAUCUGGAGGAAUACCUGUGGCGAAAGCGGCCUCCUAAACGAAUACUGACACUGAGGUGCGAAAGCGUGGGGAGCGAAAC
rnacentral:rRNA from 1 species